GGUACGCGAGCUGGGUUCAGAACGUCGCGAGACAGUUCGGUCCCUAUCUGUCGUGGGCGCAGGAUAUUUGAGGGGAUCUGUCCUUAGUACGAGAGGACCGGGAUGGACAAACCUCCGGUGCACCAGUUGUUCCACCAGGAGCAUAGCUGGGUAGCCGAGUUUGGAUCGGAUAAACGCUGAAAGCAUCUAAGCGUGAAACCGGCCCCAAGAUGAGAUAUCCCAUCGCAAGAGUAAGACCCCACAAAGACUAAGUGGUUGAUAGGUCAGGAGUGGAAGCACAGUAAUGUGUUAAGCGGACUGAUACUAAUAGGUCGAGGGCUUGACCAA
rnacentral:rRNA from 1 species